rnacentral:rRNA from 1 species
GGUUCAGGAUGAACGCUAGCGACAGGCCUAACACAUGCAAGUCGAGGGGCAGCACAAGGAGCAAUCUGAGGUGGCGACCGGCGCACGGGUGAGUAACACGUAUGCAACCUGCCUGUAAGCGGGGAAUAACCCGUUGAAAGACGGACUAAUACCGCAUAAUACUAAAUUACUGCAUGGUAAUUUAUUUAAACAUUUAUGGCUUACAGAUGGGCAUGCGCAUGAUUAGCUAGUUGGAGAGGUAACGGCUCCCCAAGGCAACGAUCAUUAGGGGUUCUGAGAGGAAGGUCCCCCACACUGGUACUGAGACACGGACCAGACUCCUACGGGAGGCAGCAGUGAGGAAUAUUGGUCAAUGGACGAGAGUCUGAACCAGCCAAGUCGCGUGCAGGAAGAAUGUUCCCUAUGGAUUGUAAACUGCUUUUGCAGGGGAAUAAAGUGCAUCACGUGUGAUGUUUUGUAUGUACUCUGCGAAUAAGGAUCGGCUAACUCCGUGCCAGCCGCUGC